AGCAGGUGAAUCAGAUCACCACGAAGAUGUCCCAUUCUGGGGCAGGCUCUCCAGCUCCCACAGAGCAGCUCAGGGGAUGUGGGAGCAGCUCUAGGAUGUGCUGAGGUUUUGUACAGGUUUUGGGGGAUAUAUAAAAGAUGUAGCCUCAUAUGGCUGGCUGGUGUGGCUUAGAGUGGAGAGAGGUGGAAAAUAGAAAGUGCAUUUGGCACACAGAUGCCAGCUUCCUGUGAUGGUCUACAAAGAGGGAUGGAGGCGGCGAAGUUACAAGAGACUGCCAGGAGACCAAGAGGAAGGAGACCUGCGUUUCAGGCUGAGCCUUGUGAGUCACCCACACUCUUGGCCCCAGUCACCUGCUCUGUGAAAAAGGCUUCAACCACCCACCACCUCUGGUGGGCCUGCUCUGCCCAGCACCUCCAACACCAUGUUCGAAGUCCAGCCUUCAUCUCAUGCGGAGUUUCUGAAGUCAGCUCUCGGCAGAGCACUCCUCAUCAGCCACCCAGCCUGUUUUCUGCUGCCUCAGGCUAGAAAGCCUGGUACCAUCUCAGCUGCUUGGCCUCUGAGCCGGCACUAGGAACAGCUGGGCUGUUGGUGAAGCUGCAUCUCAGAUGCAAUCCCACAGCUCUGCCCAUGCCUCGGCCUCAUGGAAGGCCUGCCUCCUCCAUUCCCCCAUCCUCCAGAACACCCCCUCCUCUCCACUCAAACUCCUGCUUCCAUCUAGCUCCCCCUCAUGCCCUUAGUCCCAAGUUUCAUCUCCUUGGUGUGACAUCCAGAGCCUUUUCUAAUGUGUCCCCCAUCCCACCCCGGUCCCCAGCCAACUUCUCCAGCCUUGCCCAUCACCCUCUGUUGCCUACCCUCUGUGCUCUGUGUCCUCCCCUACCCUGGAGGGCUUCACUCAGGUGACGCUGGGUGAUGGUGCUGCACAUAGGCCCUAGAAUGAAGCUGCCUGGGUUUAAACCCUCUGGGCAAGGCAUUUAACCACACCUUGCCUACUUUCUCCAUCCGUAAAAUGGGGACAGUAAUAAAAUUUCCUUCAUAGGAUUGUUUUGGUCAAUAAAUGCAACAAGGUCUUGAGAGCAACUCACGUAGAACCUGGAACAUGGUAGGUAGUCAAAAGUGUUCAGUCCCUCCUUCCCCAGAGAUGCUGCCAUCUUUCGAAUGUCCAACAUCAAAUGACAGGCAUCCAAGGUUAGCCAGUUAACACCGGUGUAGACUUACAGCUCCCCUCUCCUUCCCAGACUUCGGCAGGAUAUUGCAUCGUUACAGAUAACAAUAAAUAGCCACGCCAACAAAAAUAAAGAGAAAUAGUUUCAAGAAAGCCACACAGAAACGUAGCACAUGGUUGCAGCUCUGAUUUGGCACAGGAACUGCAGGAGCCGGCGGUUGUGACAGCAGUCAUUUGAUAAUCCCUUUGAGCUGCCCAAUGAGGGGAGUGACGUCAUGAAGGGUGAUUGGAGGAGAAAGUCCAGGGUAAAAACAGCCCCAGUCCAUGUGGAGAUGCCGCACCAAGGCAUCAGCGACCACCCUGCCUCACAGAUUAUCCCGAACUCAAGGGACCCCCUUUGGGGAGAUGGUUUGGUUGAAGUGUGAUGUAUAAUAUAUGGGCUCAGUGGAGGAUCUACUGUGACUCGUGUGGCUUCUGACAGAAUAAAUCCCUACCCUAGCAAACUA